GCACCGAUAGUCAAGUGGUUACGAUGCUACCCUCCCAAGGUAGCGGCCCGGGUUCGAAUCCCGGUCGGUGCA
rnacentral:tRNA from 2 species